rnacentral:rRNA from 1 species
GAUGAACGCUGGCGGCGUGCCUAAUACAUGCAAGUCGAGCGAACAGACGAGGAGCUUGCUUCUCUGACGUUAGCGGCGGACGGGUGAGUAACACGUGGAUAACCUACCUAUAAGACUGGGAUAACUUCGGGAAACCGGAGCUAAUACCGGAUAAUAUUUUGAACCGCAUGGUUCAAUAGUGAAAGACGGUCUUGCUGUCACUUAUAGAUGGAUCCGCGCUGCAUUAGCUAGUUGGUAAGGUAACGGCUUACCAAGGCGACGAUGCGUAGCCGACCUGAGAGGGUGAUCGGCCACACUGGAACUGAGACACGGUCCAGACUCCUACGGGAGGCAGCAGUAGGGAAUCUUCCGCAAAGGGCGAAAGCCUGACGGAGCAACGCCGCGUGAGUGAUGAAGGUCUUCGGAUCGUAAAACUCUGUUAUUAGGGAAGAACAAAUGUGUAAGUAACUAUGCACGUCUUGACGGUACCUAAUCAGAAAGCCACGGCUAACUACGUG